CUUGAGAGAACUCGGGUGAAGGAACUAGGCAAAAUGGUACCGUAACUUCGGGAGAAGGUACGCUCUUGAUGGUGAAGUCCCUUGCGGAUGGAGCUGACGAGAGUCGCAGAUACCAGGUGGCUGCAACUGUUUAUUAAAAACACAGCACUGUGCAAAAUCGUAAGAUGACGUAUACGGUGUGACGCCUGCCCGGUGCCGGAAGGUUAAUUGAUGGGGUUAGACUUCGGUCGAAGCUCUUGAUCGAAGCCCCGGUAAACGGCGGCCGUAACUAUAACGGUCCUAAGGUAGCGAAAUUCCUUGUCGGGUAAGUUCCGACCUGCACGAAUGGCGUAAUGAUGGCCACGCUGUCUCCACCCGAGACUCAGUGAAAUUGAAAUCGCUGUGAAGAUGCAGUGUACCCGCGGCUAGACGGAAAGACCCCGUGAACCUUUACUACAGCUUGGCACUGAACAUUGACCCUACAUGUGUAGGAUAGGUGGGAGGCUUUGAAGCACAGUCGCUAGAUUGUGUGGAGCCGUCCUUGAAAUACCACCCUUGUAGUGUUGAUGUUCUAACGUCGACCCCUAAUCGGGGUUGCGGACAGUGCCUGGUGGGUAGUUUGACUGGGGCGGUCUCCUCCCAAAGAGUAACGGAGGAGCACGAAGGUGGGCUAAUCACGGUUGGACAUCGUGAGGUUAGUGCAAUGGCAUAAGCCCGCUUGACUGCGAGAAUGACAAUUCGAGCAGGUGCGAAAGCAGGUCAUAGUGAUCCGGUGGUUCUGUAUGGAAGGGCCAUCGCUCAACGGAUAAAAGGUACUCCGGGGAUAACAGGCUGAUACCGCCCAAGAGUUCAUAUCGACGGCGGUGUUUGGCACCUCGAUGUCGGCUCAUCACAUCCUGGGGCUGAAGUCGGUCCCAAGGGUAUGGCUGUUCGCCAUUUAAAGUGGUACGCGAGCUGGGUUUAGAACGUCGUGAGACAGUUCGGUCCCUAUCUGCCGUGGGCGUUGGAAGAUUGAAGGGGGCUGCUCCUAGUACGAGAGGACCGGAGUGGACGAACCUCUGGUGUUCGGGUUGUGUCGCCAGACGCAUUGCCCGGUAGCUAAGUUCGGAAUCGAUAACCGCUGAAAGCAUCUAAGCGGGAAGCGAGCCCUGAGAUGAGUCUUCCCUGAUACUUUAAGUAUCCUAAAGGGUUGUUCGAGACUAGAACGUUGAUAGGCAGGGUGUGUAAGCGUUGUGAGGCGUUGAG
rnacentral:rRNA from 1 species